UACAGAGGUCUCAAGCGUUGUUCGGAUUCAUUGGGCGUAAAGGGCGCGUAGGCGGCGGGGUAAGUCUGGUGUGAAAUCUCGGAGCUCAACUCCGAAAUUGCACUGGAUACUGCUCUGCUAGAGGGCUGGAGAGGAGAUCGGAAUUCACGGUGUAGCAGUGAAAUGCGUAGAUAUCGUGAGGAAGACCAGUGCGAAGGCGGAUCUCUGGACAGCUCCUGACGCUGAGGCGCGAAGGCUAGGGGAGCAAACGGG
rnacentral:rRNA from 1 species